GUAGGUCCACCCAUUCAUCUAAUUGGUACCUUGACUUUGGUUAAGAUAUGCUUGUUUUCUACGAAUUCAGAGAUAUGUUUAUCCAUUCAGUUAUCUGUUGAAAGAACAAUUAAAGACUGACGAAGUUUUCAUCCAAAUGUGAUACAUCCGAAAUAUAAUGAAUAACAUUUAAUCCUUAUGACAUUGUGAAAUCAUUUGAAUCCAUUACCUAAGAUAGCUACUUUUAUUGAUUGAGAUCGUACACUUGUACACGAAUAGCGGUUUUGCAUCCUUACAAUACGUCAGCGAUGUUUUUUUACAUUGUUUGUUGACUAUAUUCUUACAGGUUUGAAAGUUGGCAACGCCUUCUAUGUGUACUGACUUUGUGAAAAACGUGUAAUACUCCACAUUACCGUAUUUCGACAAAAAGAUGGGUCAAAUCUUAGAAUGCAUGACAUUGCCUUACAAAAGGAAACUAAUAUGGUUUCAAUAAUUUUAAGAAAUGCAAUAUCCGUGUCAUUCCGGCGGAUUGACUUGUCGCUAGUUCAAAGCAAAGUUGGCUAACAUAAUUAGAAGUGCCUAUACUUUCUUAUAAAGCUUCAUUUAUCUUUAGCCCGGGAAUGUUCAGCAAAAUUUCCCACACUUUUUUUUUUGUUUAUUGGAUCUUCUUUUUUGUUUUUUGAAGGGAAAUUUUAAAUCAAAAAUAAUUAUCAAACAAAAAACAGGAUUAAAAGAAAUGACGAAGGAUAUCAAGUCUGGUGUCUUCAAUCGUUUACUGUCGAUUUGAACACGUUUUAAUGGCCAAACCGGGGAGUUUAUUUGCCAAUUGUUCAUGUUUCGGAGUCUUGGGGUGCCUUCCUUUUUUUUUGGGGAGGGUGUCCGAUCCAAGUUUUGAAUGGAACUUUUCGGGUGGGUUCUCCUUUCUUGUCUUUAUUUUUUUAAGGUCAGAUAAAAGGUUUGUUGUCAUUGUUAUUCUCGCUAGAUUGUUGGCAUAGCUAAACAGGCGUGUCCUUCAUUGCACAAUUUCUUGUCCUGCAUUGAGAAACCUCGAGGUCUAAAGAUACUGGUGGCAAAUUGUCUAUGGUUAGGUGUGAUUAUGGUUUAACUGUAGUUAUGUCAUCUUAAGGAUGUUAUUCAGAAAAUCGUGGUCUUUUCCAGCUAAUUGUCUCUAGUUUCUUCCUUUUUUUUAAUUUCUUUAUUUUUGGGGAAGAGCGUGAGGUAAGAGGGAUUGCGAGGGAUUGAAAUCAUUCGCUGGUGGUAUCCAGUUGAGUUUCCUUUUGUUUGCAUACUGUGAUUUCCAAGUUUCUAUUCUAAGGGCUUCCUAAUUAGUGGUUAGCUUCAAUGUUCGAAUUUGGGCAUACUGGAAUCUUAACUAGUGUUAUGACAGAUAUGCACCUAAGGAUGGGGUGAUUGGCGAUCUCCACUUAUUUAAAAUUAGUUUUGGAUGGAAGACACUUUGGAGUAUCCUGGAGAAAAUCGAGAUGAGUCGUUCUAUGAAAACGGAUUUACACUGCACGAGUGUGAUAUUGGAAUCAUAUGAAAAGUGGAUUAUAAGAUAGAUUAGAUUUGGGUGUUUCCUCCCUCCAAAAAAGAACAAAUUUUUUUUCUUUCC
rnacentral:telomerase_RNA from 1 species